AUUGGACGCUGGCGGCAUGCUUUACACAUGCAAGUCGAACGGUAACAGGCCUUCGGGUGCUGACGAGUGGCGAACGGGUGAGUAAUGCAUCGGAACGUGCCCAGAGGUGGGGGAUAACGCAGCGAAAGCUGUGCUAAUACCGCAUGUGAUCUGAGGAUGAAAGCGGGGGACCAGGCAGCAAUGUUUGGCCUCGCGCCUUUGGAGCGGCCGAUGUCCGAUUAGGUAGUUGGUGGGGUAAAGGCCUACCAAGCCGACGAUCUGUAGCUGGUCUGAGAGGACGACCAGCCACACUGGGACUGAGACACGGCCCAGACUCCUACGGGAGGCAGCAGUGGGGAAUUUUGGACAAUGGGCGCAAGCCUGAUCCAGCAAUGCCGCGUGCGGGAAGAAGGCCUUCGGGUUGUAAACCGCUUUUGUACGGAACGAAAAGGCUCUGGCUAAUACCUGGGGCUGAUGACGGUACCGUAAGAAUAAGCACCGGCUAACUACGUG
rnacentral:rRNA from 1 species